rnacentral:lncRNA from 1 species
CUACGGAUGGUCCACACGAAGCCCCUCGAACUGAUCAGCCCUCCACGGGAGGGCUAGUUCGUGCAGUUGGAUUUUGAUGGCAGAUCUGACUUGAUUUCCUUCUUCGAUUACUUCGAACCUUUCUAAUGUUGAAGAUGAAUCAAAAGAGGAUACUGGAUAGUAGAAAAAAAUCAGAUGAAGACUCUCUUUUCUUUAAUUUUUUUCUCACCCAAAAAUCUAGAACAGUUC